CGGCCCCUGGACAAAGACUGACGCUCAGGUGCGAAGCGUGGGGAGCAACAGGAUUAGAUACCUGGUAGUCACGCUGUAAACGAUGUCGAUUUGGAGGUGUUCCAUGAGGAGUGGCUUCCGGAGCUAACGCGUUAAAUCGACCGCCUGGGGAGUACGGCCGCAAGGUUAAAACUCAAAUGAAUUGACGGGGGCCCGCACAAGCGGUGGAGCAUGUGGUUUAAUUCGAUGCAACGCGAAGAACCUUACCUACUCUUGACAUCCAGAGAAUUUAGCAGAGAUGCUUUAGUGCCUUCGGGAACUCUGAGACAGGUGCUGCAUGGCUGUCGUCAGCUCGUGUUGUGAAAUGUUGGGUUAAGUCCCGCAACGAGCGCAACCCUUAUCCUUUGUUGCCAGCACGUUAUGGUGGGAACUCAAAGGAGACUGCCGGUGAUAAACCGGAGGAAGGUGGGGAUGACGUCAAGUCAUCAUGGCCCUUACGAGUAGGGCUACACACGUGCUACAAUGGCGUAUACAAAGAGAAGCGACCUCGCGAGAGCAAGCGGAACUCAUAAAGUACGUCGUAGUCCGGAUUGGAGUCUGCAACUCGACUCCAUGAAGUCGGAAUCGCUAGUAAUCGUAGAUCAGAAUGCUACGGUGAAUACGUUCCCGGGCCUUGUACAUACCGCCCGUCACACCAUGGGAGUGGGUUGCAAAAGAAGUAGGUAGCUUAACCCUCGGGAGGGCGCUUACCACUUUGUGAUUCAUGACUGGGGUGAAGUCGUAACAAGGUAACCA
rnacentral:rRNA from 1 species